rnacentral:rRNA from 1 species
AACGAACGCUGGCGGCAUGCCUAACACAUGCAAGUCGAACGAAGCCUUCGGGCUUAGUGGCGCACGGGUGCGUAACGCGUGGGAAUCUGCCCUCGGGUUCGGAAUAACAGUUAGAAAUGACUGCUAAUACCGGAUGAUGACGUAAGUCCAAAGAUUUAUCGCCCAAGGAUGAGCCCGCGUAAGAUUAGCUUGUUGGUGGGGUAAUGGCCUACCAAGGCGACGAUCUUUAGCUGGUCUGAGAGGAUGAUCAGCCACACUGGGACUGAGACACGGCCCAGACUCCUACGGGAGGCAGCAGUGGGGAAUAUUGGACAAUGGGCGAAAGCCUGAUCCAGCAAUGCCGCGUGAGUGAUGAAGGCCUUAGGGUUGUAAAGCUCUUUUACCAGGGAUGAUAAUGACAGUACCUGGAGAAUAAGCUCCGGCUAACUCCGUGCCAGCCGCCGCCGUAA